rnacentral:rRNA from 1 species
ACGCUGACAGAAUGCUUAACACAUGCAAGUCAACUUGAAUUUGGGUUUUUAACUUAGAUUUGGGUGGCGGACGGGUGAGUAACGCGUAAAGAACUUGCCUCACAGCUAGGGACAACAUUUAGAAAUGAAUGCUAAUACCUGAUAUUAUGAUUUUAAGGCAUCUUAGAAUUAUGAAAGCUAUAAGCACUGUGAGAGAGCUUUGCGUCCCAUUAGCUAGUUGGAGAGGUAACAGCUCACCAAGGCGAUGAUGGGUAGCCGGUCUGAGAGGGUGAACGGCCACAAGGGGACUGAGACACGGCCCUUACUCCUACGGGAGGCAGCAGUGGGGAAUAUUGGACAAUGGACCGAGAGUCUGAUCCAGCAAUUCUGUGUGCACGAUGAAGUUUUUCGGAAUGUAAAGUGCUUUCAGUUGGGAAGAAAGAAAUGACGGUACCAACAGAAGAAGUGACGGCUAAAUACGUGCCAGCAGCCGCGGUAAUACGUAUGUCACGAGCGUUAUCCGGAUUUAUUGGGCGUAAAGCGCGUCUAGGUGGUUAUGUAAGUCUGAUGUGAAAAUGCAGGGCUCAACUCUGUAUUGCGUUGGAAACUGUAUAACUAGAGUACUGGAGAGGUAAGCGGAACUACAAGUGUAGAGGUGAAAUUCGUAGAUAUUUGUAGGAAUGCCGAUGGGGAAGCCAGCUUACUGGACAGAUA